AGGUCAAGUCUGCUGCACCUUUAUCACUGCAGGCACUCGGUCACGCUGUGGGUUUAAUAGCAAACCUUAGGCAUUAUUGCCAAGGGUGUGAUGUGAGGAGGGGUUAAAUGCCCC
rfam:Paenibacillus sp. JDR-2, complete genome.